rnacentral:tRNA from 1 species
GUGGAGCAGGAUGGUUGCCUACCCUUCGAGGAAGCUUCAUUUGGCGUCCCUCCGAAGGCAAAGGUCACACGUUCGAAUCGUGUCGGGUGCGCCA